UACGAAGGUCCCAAGCGUUAUCCGGAUUUAUUGGGUUUAAAGGGUGCGUAGGCGGGCAGGUAAGUCAGUGGUGAAAUCUCCGGGCUUAACCCGGAAACUGCCGUUGAUACUAUCUGUCUUGAAUAUCGUGGAGGUAAGCGGAAUAUGUCAUGUAGCGGUGAAAUGCUUAGAUAUGACAUAGAACACCCAUUGCGAAGGCAGCUUACUACACGAUCAUUGACGCUGAGGCACGAAAGCGUGGGGAGCAAACAGG
rnacentral:rRNA from 1 species